rnacentral:rRNA from 1 species
AGAGUUUGAUCAUGGCUCAGGACGAACGCUGGCGGUGUGCUUAACACAUGCAACUGGAGCGACGAACCAGGGCUUGCCCUGGGGCAGAGCCGCGAACGGGUGAGUAACACGUGGGUAACCUACCCCGAUGACUGGGACAACCCGAGGAAACUCGGGCUAAUACCGGAUGUGCUCGGAGUUCACGAGAACUUUGAGUAAAGGAAGCUUCGGCCUCCGCAUUGGGAGGGGCCCGCGGCCCAUUAGCUUGUUGGUGGGGUAACGGCCUACCAAGGCUGCGAUGGGUAGCUGGUCUGAGAGGACGAUCAGCCACACUGGGACUGAGACACGGCCCAGACUCCUACGGGAGGCAGCAGUGGGGAAUCUUGCGCAAUGCGCGAAAGCGUGACGCAGCAACACCGCGUGAGGGAAGACGGCCUUCGGGUUGUAAACCUCUUUCAGGAGGGACGAAGGUAGGCCGGUGAAUAGCCGCGUCGACUGACGGUACCUCCAGAAGAAGCACCGGGCUAACUACGUGCCAGCAGCCGCGGUA